AUGGUGGUAAGGUUUUUGGCCCCAUUUUCACGGCCACCAACUCCUGUAGGUCGCCUAGGGCUCCACCCACUCGAUGUCUUUCGCUGGAGCAUGCUCUUCGGUGAGUGCCGGAGGUUCAGAGUGCCGGAGUUCGACUCCGACGACACCAUCCGGUCGGCAGUGGAGCUCUACCAAGCUGGGAUCCGGUUCAAAACGAGCAAUUCGAGCAGUCUACACAACAUCCGUUUCAGGCGCGGCGUCCUCAGCAUGCCCAAGUUGCCAGUGGACGACUCCACCGAGUACACUCUCUUCAACAUGGUGGCGUUCGAGCGGCUGCACGUCGGCACCGGGAGCGCCAUCAUGGCCUACGUCUUCUUCGUGGACUGCAUCAUCCAAUCGCCCAAGGACGUGGCGCUGCUGACCUCAAAGGGGAUCAUCCGGAAUUCCCUUGGCAGCGAAGAGGCCGUGGCCAUGCUGUUCCACAGCCUUGCGAGGGACGUGGUGCUCGAUCCGGACGGCGCGCUCAGCGCCCUGCUGCGGGAGCUCAACGGCUACUCCAGUCUGCCGUGGGAAAUGUGGUUCACUAACCUCAAAAGGACCUACUUCGGGAGCCCGUGGGCGUUUAUGUCCCUCUUAGCCGCCGCCUUCCUCCUCCUCAUGACCGUCCUGCAGACCGUCUACACCAUGCGGCAGUUCUAUCGGGACGGCUAA
rnacentral:rRNA from 1 species